rfam:Pyrenophora teres f. teres 0-1 contig_001769, whole genome shotgun sequence.
UGCGGAUUGAUGUAAUAGUAACAUAACUGGCUCAUGACCAGUAGAUAGAGGUGCAAGUCCUCUGUCCGCAU